GAAAUGCGAUAAGUAGUGUGAAUUGCAGAAUUCAGUGAAUCAUCGAAUCUUUGAACGCACAUUGCGCCCCUUGGUAUUCCAUGGGGCAUGCCUGUUCGAGCGUCAUUUGUACCCUCAAGCUCUGCUUGGUGUUGGGUGUUUGUCUUGCCUCUGCGUAUGGACUCGCCUGAAAGCAAUUGGCAGCCGGCACUUUGGCCUGUAGCGCAGCACAUUUUGCGCCGCUGGUUGAGGCUGUCGGCGUCCAUGAAGCCCAUACUUUUGCUCUUGACCUCGGAUCAGGUAGGGAUACCCGCUGAACUUAA
rnacentral:misc_RNA from 1 species